rnacentral:rRNA from 1 species
GACGAACGCUGGCGGCGUGCUUAACACAUGCAAGUCGAACGGAAAGGCCCUGCUUUUGCGGGGUGCUCGAGUGGCGAACGGGUGAGUAACACGUGAGUAACCCGCACCUGACAUUGGGAUAACUCCAGGAAACAGGGGCUAAUAUCGGAUAGGAGAUCCUGCUGCGUGGGGGGGGAUGGAAAGAUUCGGCGGUUGUGGCUGGUCUGGAGGCUUAUGCGCUUGUUGGGGGGGUAGGGGCUUACCAAGGCUUUGACGGAUAGCCGGCCUGGGAGCGGGGCCGGCCACAUUGGGCCUGCGGUACGGCGCAGUCUGCUACGGGAGGCAGCAGUGGGGAGUAUUGCGCAGUGGGCCGAAGCCUGAUGCAGCAGCCCCCCGUUCGUAAUGACCGCCUUCGGGUGGUGAACCGCUUUCGCCUUUGACGAGGCGUGAGUGACGGUAAUGGGUAAAAAAGCACCGGCUAACUACGUG